AAAAAAUAUAUGAAAAAUGAGAAGCACCCCGACACGAUGCUCCAAAACCUGCAACUUAAAAAAGUAUACAAAAAAAAUGCAGACCCUCUUUUCUCUCUUUUGAUUUGUAUGUCACUAUCUUUAUUAUUUUUCUGUUAGGAUUCAAAAACAGAAUGUUAAUAUUGGAAUUUGAUAACCGAAGGCGCACGUUAGUAAACAGUGAUGUACGGUUUCGCGGUGUAAUAAAGGAAGGGAAGACCACAUGAGAGGAUGGUGGUGUGGUGGUGUUGAAGAGCGCGUGAAGGGUUAAAUGAACCACGUGCUCAAGAA
rnacentral:lncRNA from 1 species